GUCAGUUAGUGACAAAGAAGGUG
rnacentral:siRNA from 1 species